CGGUCCAGACUCCUACGGGAGGCAGCAGUGAGGAAUAUUGCACAAUGGAGGAAACUCUGAUGCAGCCAUGCCGCGUGCAGGAUGACGGCCCUAUGGGUUGUAAACUGCUUUUUUACAAGAAGAAACCUUGGUACGUGUACCAACUUGACGGUAUUGUAAGAAUAAGCACCGGCUAACUCCGUGCCAGCAGCCGCGGUAAA
rnacentral:rRNA from 1 species